UACGAAGGGGGCUAGCGUUGCUCGGAAUCACUGGGCGUAAAGCGCACGUAGGCGGACUCUUAAGUCAGGGGUGAAAUCCUGGAGCUCAACUCCAGAACUGCCUUUGAUACUGGGAGUCUUGAGUUCGGGAGAGGUGAGUGGAACUGCGAGUGUAGAGGUGAAAUUCGUAGAUAUUCGCAAGAACACCAGUGGCGAAGGCGGCCAACUGGUCCGGUUCUGACGCUGAGGCGCGAAAGCGUGGGGAGCAAACAGG
rnacentral:rRNA from 1 species